CCCUACGGGGUGCAGCAGGCGCGUAACCCUUACAAUGCACGAAAGUGUGAUAAGGGAAUCCCAAGUGCUUUGCUUUAAGUAAAGCUUUUGCCGUGCGUAAAUAACAUGGCGAAUAAGUGGUGGGAAAGACUUGUGCCAGCCGCCGCGGUAACACCAGCGCCACAAGUGGCAACCGCUUUUAUUGGGCCUAAAGCGUCCGUAGCCGGUUUAGAAAAUUUCCUGUGAAAUCGUUGGGCUUAACUUAACGACGUGCAAGAAACACUACUAAACUAGGGACCGGGAGGCGUCAGAGGUAUUCUUGAGGGAGCGGUAAAAUGCUAUAAUCUCAGGAGGACCCCCUGUGGCGAAAGCGUCUGACGAGAACGGAUCCGACGGUAAGGGACGAAAGCUAGGGGAGCAAACCGGAUUAGAUACCCGAGUAGUCCUAGCUGUAAACUCUGCGAGCUAGGUGUUGCGUAUUCUUCGGGAAUAUGCAGUGUCGAAGCGAAGGUGUUAAGCUCGCCGCCUGGGAAUUAUGGUCGCAAGACUGAAACUUAAAGGAAUUGGCGGGGGAGCAC
rnacentral:rRNA from 1 species